rnacentral:rRNA from 1 species
UACGUAGGAGACGAGCGUUGUCCGGAGUUACUGGGCGUAAAGGGUGCGCAGGCGGCCUUGCGCGUCGCGAGUGAAAUCUCCCGGCUCAACUGGGAGGGUGGUCGCGAGACGGCAGGGCUUGAGGCUCGGUGAGGGGCGUGGAAUCCGGGUGGAGCGGUGAAAUGCGUAGAGAUCCGGAGGAACACCGACGGCGUAGGCAGCGCCCUAGACGAGACCUGACGCUCAGGCACGAAAGCGCGGGGAGCGAAACAGGAU